rnacentral:lncRNA from 10 species
GGUGGGGGAAAAGGACUGUUUAGAGGCUCGAUCUUUCCUUUUUCUUUUCCGGGAGGUGGAUGGCCAAGGCAGAGGAGGCUUUGCCAGAGAGAGAGCUGCGUGCUGCUCCAGCCCAGCGGGAUUCCGGGGGAUCCGCCUGGGCUACCGCGUCCCAAGAGUGUCGCCUCCUGCCCAUCACCCCGCUAGAGGGAAAGGACGGCGGCGCGAAUGGGGAAGGGGUGUCUCCAGCCAAAAGCCUGGAGAGGAAGAGUUAUGCAUUUCUCCUUCAAGAACCCCGAAGCCAGUCUGCAUUCCUGCAUUAAAGAAGCCAGUGUUUCCCAUCCAGUAAUUCAGGGAGCUUCAUCAUUUUUUUUCCUUCUUUCUUUUUUACCAUGUGGAGGAAAACCAUUGUAAAAACUUAUCUUGGUUGUGAAAAUACUCUUGAUUUUACUAGAGUCAUAGAGUUUUAAAGUCCUGCUCAAAGGCAGCAGAGGGAUGUAUAGUAUAGUCUCUAUAGAAGAGGCAAUGAAUGCCAAGAGCCACUGAGAUAUUUUUUUCUACCACCAAAUUUAUUCAACAGUUACUUACUGAAUACCUACUGUGGGCUGGCACAUAACAUGUCAGAUUCUCUCAAUUGACUGAAACAUAAAUCUAGGUUUCAUUUAGCCAUUUAUUUCUAAUUCUCUCCUGUUGCUAAAGUUCCUGCUGAGUUCCCAGGCAAAACUUUGUGAAAUGGGAACUUUGAAAGGCACGAUGGUGCUCCAUGAAGUUAACCUUGCUAGCUGCUGUAGGCCUUCUGGUCUCUGUUCUUCCUUGCAGCCCUUCUGGCUAAGCUGGGGAGAGAUAGUCAGUUUUAGAAGCCAUGUUCAGAAAUGUGAGUUUAGCAAUUCUGUAAAUUAAGUCACCAAAUAUGUAAUGAGAGUACUGAGUGUCAGGGGAUUGAAAAGCAUUGAGAGGUAGGGCCCUAGGCUUAAUGGGCCUAGCCAGGUGCUUGAAUGGGAAAGAUGCAAACAUUCUGGUCAAUCUAGCCUUUUAUUUGGGGAGAUAGUGACUUCUUGUGACAUAGCACAAGAAGUAUCCAUGUUCUGUGCAAGAAGGAGACACAUUUUCAGUUGAGGUUCCAAGCAAUAAUAAUAAAAAACAAUCAAAAUGUAUGGAAUACUUACCAUGUGCUAACCAUAGUAUUCUAUAUACUGAUACAUACACACAUAUACAGUCGCAUCUAUCAGGGAUUAGUUUCAGAACCCUGAGGGAUACCAAAAUUCAUGGAUGUUCAAGUCCCUUAUGUAAAAUGGUGCACUAUGUGUAUAAAACCUACAUAUUAAUGUAUCUUCUAUGCUUUAAAACAUCUCUAUAUUACUUAUGAUACCUAAUACAAUGUAAAUGCUAUGAAAAUA